rnacentral:tRNA from 1 species
GGUUCUAUAGUGUAAUGGCAAACACAUAUGCCUUUGAAGCAUGUAAUCUGGGUUCAAUUCCCAGUAGAACCA